rnacentral:rRNA from 1 species
AAUUUUUAGAGAGUUUGAUCCUGGCUCAGGAUGAACGCUGGCGGCGUGCCUAACACAUGCAAGUCGAACGAAACUAUUUUGGAAACUCCUUCGGGAGUGGAAUCUUUAGUUUAGUGGCGGACGGGUGAGUAACGCGUGAGCAAUCUGCCUUUAAGAGGGGGAUAACAGUCGGAAACGGCUGCUAAUACCGCAUAAAGCAUUAAAU